GACGUAGGAUGCGAGCGCUAUUCGGAUUUAUUGGGCGUAAAGCGUGCGUAGGCGGCUGUUUAAGUCUGGUGUUAAAGCUAGGGGCUCAACCCCUGUGGUGCAUCGGAUACUGGGCAGCUUGAGUGCGGUAGGGGAAGGUGGAAUUCCGAGUGUAGCGGUGAAAUGCGUAGAUAUUCGGAAGAACACCGGUGGCGAAGGCGACCUUCUGGGCCGCAACUGACGCUGAGGCACGAAAGCCUGGGGAGCGAACGGG
rnacentral:rRNA from 1 species